AAUCAUUCUCUAAAUAGUUAAAUAUAUUUGACACUGAAAAUACUGCACAUUUUAAUUAGAGGAAAAUUAAAAUGUGUGCUCAAAUGCACUAACAAACUAGGUGACAUGUACUAUUAUCUAUGACUUCAUACAGUUACUAAUUCAAAUAUAAAAGACACCACACUUCGAAAGAAAAAAAUUUUAAGGUAAUGGUUUUAAUU
rnacentral:lncRNA from 1 species